rnacentral:rRNA from 1 species
GAUGAACGCUGGCGGCAUGCCUAAUACAUGCAAGUCGAACGAAGUCUUUAGGAAGCUUGCUUCCAAAGAGACUUAGUGGCGGACGGGUGAGUAACACGUGAGCAACCUGCCUUUCAGAGGGGGAUAACGGCUGGAAACGGUCGCUAAUACCGCAUGACAUAUUCGAGUGGCAUCACUUGGAUAUCAAAGGAGCAAUCCGCUGAAAGAUGGGCUCGCGUCUGAUUAGAUAGUUGGUGGGGUAACGGCCUACCAAGUCGACGAUCAGUAGCCGGACUGAGAGGUUGAACGGCACAUUGGGACUGAGAUACGGGCCCAGGACUCCUACGGGAGGCAGCAGUGGGGAAUAUUGCACAAUGGGGGAAACCCUGAUGCAGCAACGCCGCGUGAAGGAAG